rnacentral:tRNA from 1 species
GACUCGAUAGCUCAGUCGGUAGAGCACAACACUUUUAAUGUUGGGGUCCUGGGUUCGAGCCCCAGUCGGGUCACAA